rnacentral:lncRNA from 1 species
UGUUUGCAGUGGUGUCGGUCUGUUGCAGGCACUGGAGGCGAAUGCACGGUGAUGGUGGUGAUGGUGAUGAGAUUUCAGGUGUGGUGCUGAGACGUCGGUGAAGAACUAGCGCCGUAUCCCAUUGCAAGCUGGACAAAUAUUCGACUCCACUUGCAGAGGUGAGCCACCAUUCCAUGAUUUAUCUCUGCACAGGAACGAUAAGGAAGAAGCUACGCAACGUAGCACCGGUUUUCAGCAUCCAACGAAGACGAGGCGAAGCUUGAGAGGUUGCUGUAGACCAACUAGAAAUUCUUAACAGGCAAGCUGCCGAUGCACAUGGACUGCGAAGCCGUUGAAGCUGUUUUCGUACCAAACCCAUCCCGAGUAUAACUGUUUCGUGUGCCCCAGGUCGUCCAUGCACGGAGAAUAUUGUUUUCAGGGCGGUCAAAGAGGGGAGAAGAAGCAGUAAGCUUCCUUACAGACCUGGACACACGAAUCCUUCCAGUGCACCGUUUCUUCAUAGCAUGGGGAGCGGCCCCCGUGUCACUCCUAUUUUAAUCUGCUUAAAAUGAACCCUACUGACACUGUAUUAGCUCAUCCUGGGGCUGAAGCGAAAGUCGGUCACUGCCGAUUCCUUUGCAGUAAAGUCGGUCCACGUUCCACCGCCGUUUCGUGAAGUCUCUGUGAUGAGCUCAUGACUUCUGUGCUCGAUGCCGACAAUAGAUGUGCUACUCAAGGGGAAUCGAAUCCGAUCAGAAUUGUACAAUUUUUGGCAUUCUUGCAGGAUUACUACAAUCCGUGAUCUUUUGUUGCAGUCUCGGGGGGUCUGGAUCAGGAGCAUCUUCAAGCUUUAAAGUCUCCGAGACCUGCACCCACACUGGUAAGCUUACCAAUUUGGAGCUCUGGUUUGUUCUGCUUCAUGAAUGACUGUCAUACUGUGAGAGCUACAAACAGAAAAUAAACUAAAAUGGUAACAUGUUCAUAUUCUUCAGAGUUGCCAAUGGUAACAUAUGCAUAUUCUAAAAACGUGAUUGUUGAGAGCUUUACAUAAGACUUAAGCAUUGUAACUUGGCAGAUAAUUUUGUAGUUUCAAAAACAGUUUCCAGUGGAUUUAAUGGAUCUCAACUCGUUCCCCUUCAAGGAUAUAUGUAUAAUUGAAAUGAAAAUAUGUUUCAAACUGUUUCUUCAGUUUUUUUGGUUGAUGCUUUAGGUUAGAUUAUUGCUAACAUCAUGCACAAACAUCUUAAAGUGUUGAUUUAAUUCAACUUUUUAAAAUAGUGUUUUAUUGAUUUUAUUUAUUUAUCUUAUGGUUUAAGUUUUUUGAGAAAAUUCAUCUACUAGUUCUUUUCGAUAACUGCAUUUGAAAAAUAACUAUCAUGUUAUAUGCAAAAAAUAUUUUAUCAGUAAAAAAAAAAUUGAAUAUAACAUGAUAGUUAUUUUUUACAAUUUAUCUAUUUAUAAAGAAUUUUUUAUAUCCACUCAUUUAAAUAUUACAUUAAAAAACUGUACUUUUUUUUAGACAUGUGAUGAAUAUUAUAUGUUUUAUUUCUUAUUUUUUGUACAUAAUUUAUUAUUUUGCAAAAAUAAAUAUCUCACUUACUACAUUAAUUUUACAACUGAAGAUGUAAGUUUAUACUUCUGAUUUAGUUCCAAUGAUAAUUUUAAAAUUAUAAUACAUUCUGUAAAUAUCUUAAACUAAAAGAGCAGAUGUUAAGAAAUAUAUAUAUAUAUAUAUAUAUAUAUAUAUUUUAAGUGUACCAAACUGAAAUACCAUACUUUUGAUUGAAUACAAUUUUCAAAUAUAUUAUUAAAUUUGCUGUAAAAGAUGAAGAUUACAUAGAUUCGCUUUAAUUGUUGAAAGUAAAAUUAAAUGGAAGGCGCAUGCAACAUCUCCAGUACUUUUUAGAUGCUCUAUAAUUCUUCAACUAUUGCUCAUCAUUAAAAAAAUGUACAAACUAAAAAAAUGUAAAUAAAAAUUAACCCAUAAGUUUUUCAAAAAUAAAUACACAAAUGUACUGCAAAAUUAUAAUUAGAAUUCUUGAUUCUUGAUCAAUAAUUACCAUUUUUUUAGAUAUAAAAGAUCAUGAUUUAACAAAAGAUUGACUUCUUAAUUAAUUCCCAUCUACAAUAUUAAUGUCAAAACAAAAGCUGCUUUUAGAAAAAUAUUUUAGAGUAUUAUGUGAGUUCCAACUAUGUAAACUAUACCAGUUUAUUUCCAAAUGUAUUGCCUUGGCAAACAAUUGAAAACGUAUUAAGCUAAACUUACAAUCAUUUUGUCACAAAUUUUCAAAUUUUUUGCUUAUAUAAUUUUGUAUCUAAUUUCUCAAAAACAAUUAUUAAAGUGUGGUUGAAGUGACAUAAUAGUGGCUAAAUUUCAAAGACAAAAUUUAAAGUUAAAAAAUUUAAUAAGAAGAAAGUUUUAGGGUUGUAGAAGUUGGAGGUAAAUACUGGCUUGUACAAAAAAGAUUCCACAAGCAAUAAAAAUAAAAGUCUGUUAACAAGAAUAAUGUAGAGUUGGAAGAAAUUAACUUAAGAGUAGGAAUUGCAAUUUUUUUGAGUCUUGGAUAUGAAAUUUUCCAUAAUGUUAUAAACAAGAAUUUAACUUAUAAGGUAUAGUCAAAAUUAAAGAGCUUAUAUAUUACAAAUUUAUUGAAAAUUUGAGUAGAUUUGAAACAUCAAUUUUAUACUUUGUGCAUAAAAAAAAUCAAAGUUUCUUAGAUUAUUUAAAUACCUUUAGAACGAUGGUCUGUGAUUUAACAAGUAUAGAAUUUUAUUAAUUAAAAAUGACAUGCCAUGCAAGACUCUAAAAAUACACAUUAUUUGUAUCAAAAUAUGUUCAAAAAUGUUGAAAAAUAAACUUCAAAAAUCUGUAUUAAAAGAAUAUUGAAAAAUAAACUUCAAUAUUGAAAAAUAAACUUCAAUAUUUUUGUUCAUCAUACCAAAUGUGAGCUAAAGUAUAUACUAAUUUUUUUUCUAUUGUCACAAUAAUUCUUCAACAAAAUAGAAAAACAAUAAGCCUAAAUUGUAUGGUUUUUGAGAAAACUUUAAGCAUAUUGAAUAAAGUUAAAUAAGAGUAGUACUUCCAAGCUAAAGCUAUGAACACUACUAUUGUAUUGGUAAAUCUUUCUUUCUCUAUUUUUAUUAAAUUUAAGAUACUUCAUAAGAAAUAACAUAGUAGACAUGCAUAUUACUCUAAUUCUUUUAAAUGGCAAGCAUAUGUUCAUGUCUAAUACAAAAAAAAAAAAAUCAAAUUUGGAUAUUAUGUCAAAAACAUUUAUGAAAGAAAUAUAGCAUUUGGGAUCUAAAUACAAGUAAGAUCAUUGCAAAUAUGAAAAUAGAAUUUUGUGAAGUUCUAUAUUUAAAGAAAGUGAUUUACAUAAAGGAAAGAAGUUUUAGAUUAUAAUUGAUAUUCUUAAGAUAAAG